UCUCCUCGUUGGAUUUGAAACUAUAAUAAAUAUUCCCAUGUUGAAGCUGAUGAAAAUCUUGAAAAUUUUGAGUACUACUCAAAUGAUUAGAAUCUUGAAUUUCCUGUUUGCACCAUAGCCUUUUUUGUUGUUGUUGUUGGCUAUAAGGGUAACGCAUAUUCAAAGGUUGAGCUUGUUCGAAUGCAAUUUUAGACCAGAUAUGAUUCACGUUUGCCAUAGCUACUGAUUGUUCCAUUUGUGAGAUGAGAUCCAAAGGUUUCUUGAAAUUUUUUUUAUAAGCCCCCGUCAACUUUUUUACAUGCAGUUCAAUUCAAAGUAAAAAAAAUGAAAAAAAAAGUUGAUUAGCGUAUAAAGGGAGGGGAAAGUGGGAGGGGAUAAAAAG
rnacentral:lncRNA from 1 species